rnacentral:rRNA from 1 species
GAAUUCCAAGCUUCGCGGCCUAUCAGCUUGUUGGUGAGGUAGUGGCUCACCAAGGCGACGACGGGUAGCCGGCCUGAGAGGGCGACCGGCCACACUGGGACUGAGACACGGCCCAGACUCCUACGGGAGGCAGCAGUGGGGAAUAUUGCACAAUGGGCGAAAGCCUGAUGCAGCGACGCCGCGUGAGGGAUGACGGCCUUCGGGUUGUAAACCUCUUUCAGCAGGGAAGAAACGAAAGUGACGGUACCUGCAGAAGAAGCGCCGGCUAACUACGUGCCAGCAGCCGCGGUAAUACGUAGGGCGCAAGCGUUGUCCGGAAUUAUUGGGCGUAAAGAGCUCGUAGGCGGCUUGUCACGUCGGUUGUGAAAGCCCGGGGCUUAACCCCGGGUCUGCAGUCGAUACGGGCAGGCUAGAGUUCGGUAGGGGAGAUCGGAAUUCCUGGUGUAGCGGUGAAAUGCGCAGAUAUCAGGAGGAACACCGGUGGCGAAGGCGGAUCUCUGGGCCGAUACUGACGCUGAGGAGCGAAAGCGUGGGGAGCGAACAGGAUUAGAUACCCUGGUAGUCCACGCCGUAAACGGUGGGCACUAGGUGUGGGCAACAUUCCACGUUGUCCGUGCCGCAGCUAACGCAUUAAGUGCCCCGCCUGGGGAGUACGGAGAUCU